rnacentral:rRNA from 1 species
GAUGAACGCUGGCGGUAUGCUUAACACAUGCAAGUCGAACGGACUCUUCGGAGUUAGUGGCGGACGGGUGAGUAACGCGUGAGAAUCUGGCUUUGGGUUCGGGACAACCACUGGAAACGGUGGCUAAUACCGGAUGUGCCGAGAGGUAAAAGAGAAAUUGCCUGAAGAUGAGCUCGCGUCUGAUUAGCUAGUUGGUGAGGUAAAGGCUCACCAAGGCAGCGAUCAGUAGCUGGUCUGAGAGGGUGACCGGCCACACUGGGACUGAGACACGGCCCAGACUCCUACGGGAGGCAGCAGUGGGGAAUUUUCCGCAAUGGGCGAAAGCCUGACGGAGCAAUACCGCGUGAGGGAAGAAGGCUCUUGGGUUGUAAACCUCUUUUCUUAGGGAAGAACAAAAUGACGGUACCUAAGGAAUCAGCAUCGGCUAACUCCGUG